GUGUCUACUUUACUCUCACACCACGGCCUCCCUCACAAACUGCUGACGCCAGAGGGCUGAGGGGCAGUUUCUUUUGCUUGCUGUCAGUUAUUGGAAGCGGGACAGAAAUUGCCAAGUUUAGAAGGAGAAGAAAUUUACAAAACUUUCUGAGUGUGUUAAGAGACAGAGAUAAUACCUCUGUGAUCAUUUUUGAUGAUUAAAAAGUUUUCCUGAAUCUCAGACCAUUUUAUUAGCUCAGAAGAAAUCAACAGCUGAUGCCUACAUUUUACCCCAGAGUCAUGAACCAGCUGUCAAGCAUGUUAACUACACACCAUUAAGUGCAAACCCUGGAUGAGGCCCCAGUAAAGUGGGGAUGUGACUCCUGACCCCUGCCUCAAGGAGCACAGACCACAGAGGAGAGACACACGAACAAUGGCAGUCCUCUGCCCUGUGGUACAGAGUGGUGAGGUGUUGGGAAAGCAGUCCUCAUGGCUCCAGUGAUCUCCACGACCUUCAGGUUCUCUCCUGGAUCCUCUGCCUGCCUUCAUCAGAUGGAGGAAAGAGGACGCUGAAAUGUCGUGCAGGAAGGUUUUUUGAGCCCAGUUUGGAAGUGGUGUCCACAAGCUGUUUGUCAUAGCUUGGUCACACUGGCUCAUGUGACGCUGUGGCCAGGCAGCCACUUUCUGGCAAUAAUUCUACACUAUGGAAGAGGAACAUUAGCCUUUGGUCAACAGCCAAGUGUUUUUGGACUUACACAGUGAGGAGGAGUGUAGUGGGGGCUUAGAAGCAAGAGAAAUGCAAGUGUGUGUGUGGUGGGGGGGCGGAAGGAGGGAAGGGAAAUGAUAGUAAAAGCCUCUCAGAAGAUUAAUAUUUAAACCAAGUUUUGGAAGAUCAUUAGGAUCUAUAUGAUAAAGAAUAGUGGGGAGAAACAGUUUAAGUAGAAGAAACAGCAUGUCCAAAAUCACUGUGGCAUACAUUUAUCCAUCUAGCAACAAAUCUCUGUGAAAUUGUCUUAAGGUGCCAAGGAUUAUUCCAAACGCUGGAAAUGGCACUAUACAAAAGACAGACAAGUUUCCCACUCUCAUGACCCUAUAUUUUAAUGAAGAGCAACAAACCAUAAAUAAACAAGCCACUAAGUCCGCAACUCAAAACAUCAGCGUGUCGCGUCAGGGAGCCGCAGCUAUU
ensembl:lncRNA